rnacentral:rRNA from 1 species
CCGGCGCACGGGUGAGUAACACGUAUCCAACCUGCCGUCUACUCUUGGACAGCCUUCUGAAAGGAAGAUUAAUACAAGAUGGCAUCAUGAGUCCGCAUGUUCACAUGAUUAAAGGUGUUCCGGUAGACGAUGGGGAUGCGUUCCAUUAGAUAGUAGGCGGGGUAACGGCCCACCUAGUCUUCGAUGGAUAGGGGUUCCGAGAGGAAGGUCCCCCACAUUGGAACUGAGACACGGUCCAA